AUGUUACAGAAAAGGACAGGAUUGAGGCCAACCAGUGAGUAUCACACAGAUACACAGUCCAGUAUCACACAGAUACCCAGUCCAGUACCACACAGAUACCCAGUCCAGUACCACACAGAUACCCAGUCCAGUAUCACACCGAUACCCAGUCCAGUAUCACACAGAUACACAGUCCAGUAUCACACAGAUACCCAGUCCAGUACCACACAGAUACCCAGUCCAGUACCACACAGAUACCCAGUCCAGUACUACACAGAUACCCAGUCCAGUACCACACAGAUACUCAGUCCAGUACCACACAGAUACCCAGUCCAGUAUCACACCGAUACCCAGUCCAGUAUCACACAGAUACACAGUCCAGUAUCACACAGAUACCCAGUCCAGUACCACACAGAUACCCAGUCCAGUACUACACAGAUACCCAGUCCAGUACCACACAGAUACUCAGUCCAGUACUACACAGAUACCCAGUCCAGUACUACACAGAUACCCAGUCCAGUACUACACAGAUACCCAGUCCAGUACUACACAGAUACCCAGUCCAGUAUCACACAGAUACUCAGUCCAGUAUCACACAGAUACCCAGUCCAGUACUACACAGAUACCCAGUCCAGUAUCACACAGAUACUCAGUCCAGUAUCACACAGAUACCCAGUCCAGUAUCACACAGAUACCCAGUCCAGUACUACACAGAUACCCAGUCCAGUACUACACAGAUACCCAGUCCAGUAUUACACAGAUACCCAGUCCAGUACUACACAGAUACCCAGUCCAGUUCCACACAGAUACCCAGUCCAGUACUACACAGAUACCCAGUCCAGUACUACACAGAUACCCAGUCCAGUACCACACAGAUACCCAGUCCAGUAUCACAGAGAUACCCAGUCCAGUAUCACACAGAUACCCAGUCCAGUACUACACAGAUACCCAGUCCAGUACUACACAGAUACCCAGUCCAGUAUUACACAGAUACCCAGUCCAGUAUCACACAGAUACCCAGUCCAGUACUACACAGAUACCCAGUCCAGUACUACACAGAUACCCAGUCCAGUAUUACACAGAUACCCAGUCCAGUACUACACAGAUACCCAGUCCAGUUCCACACAGAUACCCAGUCCAGUACUACACAGAUACCCAGUCCAGUACUACACAGAUACCCAGUCCAGUAUGACACAGAUACCCAGUCCAGUACUACACAGAUACCCAGUCCAUUACUACAUAGAUACCCAGUCCAGUACUACACAGAUACUUACCCAGUACUACACAGAUACACAGUCCAGUACUACACAGAUACUUAUCCAGUCCAGUACUACACAGAUACCCAGUCCAGUACUACACAGAUACCAAGUCCAGUACUACACAGAUACUAAUCCUGUCCAGUAUCACACAGAUACCCCGUCCAGAACUACACAGAUACCCAGUCCAAUACUACACAGAUACACAGCCCAGUACUACACAGAUACUUAUCCAGUCCAGUACUACACAGAUACACAGCCCAGUACUACACAGAUACACAGUCCAGUACUACACAGAUACACAGUCCAGUACUACACAGAUACUUACACAGCUCAGUACUACACAAAUACUUACACAGCCCAGUACUACACAGAUACUUACCCAGUCCAGUACUACACAGAUACUUACACAGCCCAGUACUACACAGAUACUUACCCAGUCCAGUACUACACAGAUACUUACACAGCUCAGUACUACACAGAUACUUUCACAGCCCAGUACUACACAGAUAUUUACCCAGUCCAGUACUACACAGAUACUUAUCCAGUCCAGUACUACACAGAUACUUACACAGCCCAGUACUACACAGAUACUUACCCAGUCCAGUACUACACAGAUAUUUACACAGCCCAGUACUACACAGAUAUUUACACAGCCCAGUACUACACAGAUACUUACACAGUCCAGUACUGCACAGAUACUUACACAGUCCAGUACUACACAGAUACUUACACAGUCCAGUACUACACAGAUACAUACCCAGUACAGUACUACACAGAUACUUCCACAACCUAG
rnacentral:lncRNA from 1 species